rfam:Dipodomys ordii contig_85335, whole genome shotgun sequence.
GGGAAGGUGGCUCAGUGGUAGAGUGCUUGCCUAGUAUGCAUGAAGCCUUGGGUUUGAUUCCUCACUACCACA